rnacentral:tRNA from 1 species
UCUUUGGUAGUGUAGUAGUUAGUAUUAGUUAGUAUUCACACCUGUCAUGUGUGAGACCUGGGUUCAAUUCCUGGUCAGAGAG